GAGGUUCAAUUGGGGCUCUUCUUCACUCCAACUCUGAAAAGAGGUGAUGGUAGACCACGGCUGCUAGUUCAUGAAUACCCUUAAGUACGCACCUUAUCGAUGGGAGUGUGCGCAUGCUAAGGGUUUGCAUGAGGUAGGAGAUGAGGCUACCUUGAUCUUUUUGGUUUGGAGUGAAGAGAGCUCCUAAUGGAUCUUCC
rfam:Prunus persica cultivar Lovell chromosome G2, whole genome shotgun sequence.